UUGGUGACAUUAUAUUGUAUAAUGGUUCCUGGUUAAUGGCUUAUUUGAGCUAUAUCUAGAGCAAUUUAGCACUGAUACUGUAUAGGAAAAUGAGAGAACGGGAUUAAAUUCGUGGAUGUUUUGCACGGAAGUUUUUAAUAGGAUAAUUUAUUUGAGCAAACAUCCAGUCUAUUUAAUGAAUCUGGAAUGCUGUGGAGCUCAGAAGU
rnacentral:lncRNA from 1 species